UUCGGAGGUCAGAGCUCGGCGGGGUGCGGCUAGUGGCGGAGCGCGCUGCGAGGGGAGGGCUUUCCACUGUCGCUGGCGUGAACUCGCGUGCCCGGCUUCACCAGGUACUGCCUUCUAACGAGCUGGCCAUUUCCACAUGUCAGAUAGGACCAACUUGCCUUUUAACUACCCGUGUGAUACUUAAACACUGUUGCCGGUAUCACAGCUUUUCUUCAAAACAGGAUCUUGCUCUGUCACCCAGGCUGGAGUACAGUAGCACCAUCACUGCUCACUGUAGCCUCGACCUGCUGGGCUCAAGUGAUCCUCCCAUCUCAGCCUCCUGAGUAGGGGACUACACACAGGCACCACCAUGAUCCGGUAUCACCAGUCUGUGGGUACAAAAGGAGAGUAACAUGAACGAUUCAAAUUCCACUGGCUCUUGUUCCCAUGGAUUCACAGAAGUUCAGCCCCAUUUCAAAACUUCACAUUUGCUUCUGGGAAGCCCAUUCUGGAAAGUUUCUCUGUGGCCCUCUCCAGAAGGCAGCGCGACUUCCACCCAGCAACACAAGUCUCUGCAGCACCUGCCCCAGCAGCGCCAGCUGAG
rnacentral:lncRNA from 1 species